AUUUCCAAAACAUUAUCAUUUCAACAUGCAAUCAAUAUAAAAAUUGAGUUUCCAUUCUUUUUUUAGUACUAAGUCUACAAAACUUAGUGUGUAUUGUACAUUUAAAGAACAUCUUGAUUUGGACCAGCCACAUUUCAAAUGCUCAAGAGCCACACAUGGCUAAUGGCUACCGUUUUGGCAGCACAGGUAUAAGUCUAAGAGGAAGUCCUCCUUUCACUCCUGACCUUUUUAAGCCCAGAGUUGAAGACUGACAUGAGUGCUAGCCUGCAUCCUGAGAAAAGUCAAAGUCAUCAGAGAAGUUCUGGUCUGAGUUUCUUCUCUGACUAGGAAGGUAGGAGGGCAAAGUUCAGGACAAACACAAAAUAGAAAACCUAGGAGGCUGCAAGAACAACAAUAAUGAGGAACUUCAAGGAGGGACAGAAAAUGAGUUGGGCAUGGUCAGGUUUUCUUUAUACUCAAGGUUUUCCCAAUACAAACCCCAAAGGCACACAGAGCUCCUAUCAUAUCAGUUAUAUCAAUUCAUUCCUUUAAACAUCUCUGAACACCUAACUCCUAGGCACUUGGCUGGGCAAUGGAGAUGCAGUUACCCUUCAGGAGAGCUCUCGAUUGGGUCAGGAUGACAUGUUAAACACCUCAAUUAUUCAUUCAAAGUGAAAUAAGAACUCACUUAUAGAUGAGAACACUGAGGCUGAGAGAGGUUCGAUCACUUUUCUACAGUCACACAACCAGAGUGGUGGAAUGAGGAUCCAAACCUGACUCUUAAACAUGGCAUUGAACCAUACUUCCCAGUUUUAAAGAGCUCAUGGUCCUGGAGGCAACAAAAAAUGUCACAACUAUGAGACCAUGGAGUCACUACCACAAAAGGACAUGAAAUAGGGGCUGGAAGCAGGGGGCAUUAAGAUUCCCAGGGGUAACCUUGUGUGAGUCUGAAAGGUUGAGGAGCUCACCAGGUGAAAAGGGGGAAGGAAAUGGACCUUCCACAGGGAACAGCAGAAGUGUGAAGGAGCAUUCAGUAUUCAGAAAACUGGUUGGUGGGGCAGCUAGAGGGCAGUGUGCAUAAGAAAUAGAGGCCCCACAUGAAAGUGGAGGUAUGAGCCAAAACCAGUGCAUAAGGGGCCUGAAAUUCCAUGAGGAACAAUGUAGGUUUUAUACUAUGGGUCAUGGGAAGCCUUAAAAAUUUUGUCUAGGGUAGUAAACAGGACCAGAUUUUCAUUUGAAGAAAUCAUUCUAAAGGAGAGAUCUCAAAGCUUAUGUGUCACCCUUCCUCUCCUAGGGUUGUUAACUCUAUUAAAAGUCCAUGUGUAAAGGCUAAGAUUUGUUUCCUAGAGUUGGAUCACAUCUAGGGACUUAAUCUCCCAAUGGCCUGUGAAGUUUACUUCUCUACCCAUGUUACUAAACAGAAGUUGUUGACUUGCAAUUCUUGAAAAUCAACCCACAAAAAGCUAAAAGCACCUCCUUUAUUCCUGGCAUCAGCACUGACAGAGUUCCUGGCAGAGGAUGGUUUGCUUGGCCAGCUCCUGCUGGAAACCUUGCAUAAUCUUGAUGGCACAGUAGUAUUUUACAUUUACUUGCACAGAAACACGUAAGAUUCUUGUGGCCAGUGACAGAAAACGCUGAAAUAUUUCAGGUGCUCAAAUUCUGAGGCCCCAUGUCUCCUCCCCGUAACAAGGAAUAAAAUUGUUCACUGCCUUCAAAACCCAUGUCUCCCCUCUCCCCAGCCCCCUCUGCACAUCCCUUCCAGGUCUCCUGAUUACCCAGUUCCAUUUUCAGUUCAUCAACCUCUAAGGCUGGCCUACUUUUCAAGGCCACACAAGCAUAUUACAUUGUACAAUUAGGUAAGAAAAACAUCUGCAUUAUACAAAUAAUAGAUUAUAAUUAGAACAGGAUAUUGAAAGGGGGAAACCAGCAAGUGUCCACCAGAAAGCAAGGAUACAGGCAGAACUGGUAAAAAAAAAAAGCCAUUAGACAAAGUACAAAAAUACUACUGCAUCGCAGGGGCAAGGGCUUGACAAGAGGGAAAGAGACAGCAGCAAUACUGAGUGUAACAGAACAGGAGCUGGCCACUGACCGCCCGAAAACCAAGCUGAAGCCCAAGAGCACCAAGCAAGAUCACUUUACCCAGUGAGAAGAGCGAAGCAGACUCAUUUUGUUUUCGGUAAUCACCUGGGUGGUUCUGAAAGUCAUGCCCUGGUCUGAAUAGAGAGUGGGCCCAGGCAGUUUCGAGUCUAUUGCAAAACCAUGGAAAUUGAGUGCAGAUAAACAACCAGGCCAGAUCCAUGAAGAGGAGCAUAAGAGAGAAAAGAAGAGGCCCUCUCAGGUGGCACUCUGCCUAACUAAAGGCCUGGUCCAAGGGUAAGAUGUCCAAGGGGUUUUUCUGAACUUCCAGCUUCAUUCACACCCUGACCUAAAAAAUCAACCCCUUGCCUUUGUCAAGAAGAUGGAAUGUUUCAUGGACACACUAUCCAUUCCCAAACCCCUCCUUAACAAGGCAUCUCUGGGUAUAAGAGGGGACUGUUCUGGAGGACUUGUGCCCUCUAGCCCCACUUUGUUUCCAUAUGACCUGACACCAGCCAAAGUGGGAGAGCAUUUGGGUAGCAAGACAGUUCAUGUGG